UACGGAGGGUGCAAGCGUUAUCCGGAUUCACUGGGUUUAAAGGGUGCGUAGGUGGGCAGGUAAGUCAGUGGUGAAAUCUCCGGGCUUAACCCGGAACUGCCGUUGAUACUAUCUGUCUUGAAUAUAGUGGAGGUGAGCGGAAUAUGUCAUGUAGCGGUGAAAUGCUUAGAUAUGACAUAGAACAUCGAUUGCGAAGGCAGCUCGCUACGCUAUUAUUGACACUGAGGCACGAAAGCGUGGGGAUCAAACAGG
rnacentral:rRNA from 1 species